GACGAACGCUGGCGGCGUGCCUAAUACAUGCAAGUAGAACGCAGUUGCGAACGGGUGAGUAACGCGUAGGUAACUGCCUCAUAGCGGGGGAUAACUAUUGGAAACGAUAGCUAAUACCGCAUACUGUGAGAUGGACCUGCGUUGUAUUAGCUAGUUGGUUAGGUAAAGGAUCACCAAGGCGACGAUACAUAGCCGACCUGAGAGGGUGUUCGGCCACACGUGGACUGAGACACGGCCCAGACUCCGUCGGGAGGGAGCCGUAGGGAAACGUCGGCAAUGGACGGAAGUCUUGCCGAGCAACGCCGCGUGAGUGAAGAAGGUUUUCGGAUCGUAAAACUCUGUUUUUUGAGUAGCGGUAACUAUCCAGAAAGGGCCGGCUAACUACGUGCCAGCAGCCGCGGUAAUUC
rnacentral:rRNA from 1 species